GCCAGGUGUGGUGGUGCACACCUGUAUUCCCAGCAGCUUGGGAGGCUGAGGCAGGAGGAUCGUGAAUUCAAAGUCAGCCUCAG
rnacentral:sRNA from 1 species